UACAGAGGUCUCGAGCGUUGUUCGGAUUCAUUGGGCGUAAAGGGUGCGUAGGUGGCGAGGUAAGUCGGAUGUGAAAUCCCGGGGCUCAACCCUGGAACUGCAUUCGAUACUGCCCUGCUUGAGUACUGGAGAGGAGAUUGGAAUUCCUGGUGUAGCGGUGAAAUGCGCAGAUAUCAGGAGGAACACCGGUGGCGAAGGCGCCACUCUGGGCCGGCACUGACGCUGAGGAGCGAAAGCGUGGGUAGCGAACAGG
rnacentral:rRNA from 1 species